AUUUCCCUCUUUCUUUAGGCCUAACACAUGCGAGUCGAACGGCAGCACAGUAAGAGCUUGCUCUUACGGGUGGCGAGUGGCGGACGGGUGAGGAAUACAUCGGAAUCUACUUUUUCGUGGGGGAUAACGUAGGGAAACUUACGCUAAUACCGCAUACGACCUACGGGUGAAAGCAGGGGAUCUUCGGACCUUGCGCGAUUGAAUGAGCCGAUGUCGGAUUAGCUAGUUGGCGGGGUAAAGGCCCACCAAGGCGACGAUCCGUAGCUGGUCUGAGAGGAUGAUCAGCCACACUGGAACUGAGACACGGUCCAGACUCCUACGGGAGGCAGCAGUGGGGAAUAUUGGAUAAUGGGCGCAAGCCUGAUCCAGCCAUACCGCGUGGGUGAAGAAGGCCUUCGGGUUGUAAAGCCCUUUUGUUGGGAAAGAAAAGCAGCAGGUUAAUACCCCGCUGUUCUGACGGUACCCAAAGAAUAAGCACCGGCUAACUUCGUG
rnacentral:rRNA from 1 species